rnacentral:lncRNA from 1 species
AAAUGGUCAAUUACAAAGCACAACAUAAGACUGGAACAUUGGAGUUAAGUAGCAGAGAUCAAAAUUUGUCAGUUUCAAAUACUCAUGUAUCUGAUUGUCAAUGCUGGAGAGCUGGGGCCAGGGCAGUAGUUGAUGGAUAUCACCUGACUGUCUCCUGCAGCAAAAGCAUUCCCAGAAGCACGGAGAAGUGAGGAGAAAAGGCAAUGCACCUGGAGCUGGAGACCAAGACCCCGUUCUUACUGAUGGCCCUUGGAGCAGAUAUUUGAAUUGGAGAGAUAAAACCGUGGUUUUUGGGGUGUUAAUUUUGGUGGCUGAUGCAUUCUGUGAUUGAUUUGGCUAUUACAACUGGUAUUGAUUUUAAACACAUUAAUUGCAAAAUCUCAAUUGUGAUUUGAUUUCUGUAUUUACAAUACUAAAAACGAGGCUUUCGCCAGGAGAAGACAAUUGGCAGUACUCAGUUGGAAGUGCUUAAUUGUUAAUAUGUAUCAGCCGUGGUUCUUCAGCGUCGUCAGUGUUGCUCAGUCUUGCUCUUUGUGGCGACUACUGAAUGCUUGAAAAAUUCUCUCCUAUACUCCCACUCUGCGCUGUAGAAGAGAAAGAGAGGAGAGUGGAAGAAAAAAGAGAGGGAGAGGAGAAAGAAAGAAAGGAGAGAGAAACAUGGGCAUGGAUGAUACAUAAGAUAAUUCCAGAAGAUUUCAGCAUAGCAGAUAAAAUACAGCAAAUCCUAACCAGCACAGGUUUGAGUGACAAACGGGCCGGUUCCAUGGGCACAGAUGACUUCAUCAGAUUCAUGAAUUAUUAGGAAAGGAGAGGACCUCUAAUUACACUUUGAGAAGAUGCUUCUAUCCCUCAUUACGCUUUGAAAUUGAAGAAUUUAGAUAUAUUUAAGUCUAUUUCACUCUUUUUAACUGAUAUAUGAAUAAACUGUUCUCUUUAUCAAUGAUCCCUCUUGGAGACCAUUUGGUAUUUCUGCUUUUUGGUUAUUAAUAAC